rnacentral:rRNA from 1 species
UACGAAGGGUGCAAGCGUUACUCGGAAUUACUGGGCGUAAAGCGUGCGUAGGUGGUUUGUUAAGUCUGUUGUGAAAGCCCCGGGCUCAACCUGGGAAUGGCAAUGGAUACUGGCAAGCUAGAGUGCGGUAGAGGGUAGUGGAAUUCCCGGUGUAGCGGUGAAAUGCGUAGAGAUCGGAGGAACACCAGUGGCGAAGGCGGCUACCUGGACCAGCACUGACACUGAGGCACGAAAGCGUGGGAGCGAACAGG